rnacentral:rRNA from 1 species
GACGAACGCUGUCGGCGUGCCUAAUACAUGCAAGUCGAACGCAUUUUCUUUCACCGUAGCUUGCUACACCGAAAGAAAAUGAGUGGCGAACGGGUGAGUAACACGUGGGUAACCUGCCCAUCAGCGGGGGAUAACACUUGGAAACAGGUGCUAAUACCGCAUAAUUCCAUUUACUGCAUGGUAGAUGGAUGAAAGGCGCUUUUGCGUCACUGAUGGAUGGACCCGCGGUGCAUUAGCUAGUUGGUGGGGUAACGGCCUACCAAGGCUGCGAUGCAUAGCCGACCUGAGAGGGUGAUCGGCCACACUGGGACUGAGACACGGCCCAGACUCCUACGGGAGGCAGCAGUAGGGAAUCUUCGGCAAUGGACGCAAGUCUGACCGAGCAACGCCGCGUGAGUGAAGAAGGUUUUCGGAUCGUAAAACUCUGUUGUUAGAAAAGAACAAGGAUGAGAGUGGAAAGUUCAUCCCUUGACGGUAUCUAACCAGAAAGCCACGGCUAACUACGUG